rnacentral:lncRNA from 1 species
AAAAUACAUACACUGUUUUUGUAUUCCUGGGUUGUGAAUUCUGUCUUUCAUCUGCUAAAGCCUGUAGGGGCCGCCUAUUCAGAGAGGGCUGCUGGAGGAAUUUGCAGGGGUGGGCUUCACUCCUGUGGUUUUACCCAGCUAUGCCUCAGAUUUCCUUAUUUCAAGCCAUCCUCUGUUGAAGAUAUGGAUGAUACAGUAAAACCAAAGGCCCUUGAGAGCAGAUUGCAUGAAUAUUUUACUGUAGCCACAAAGAACUCGCAUCAUCUCCUGGAAAGAAUCUCAGGUGAAGCAAAUGUAACGGACCAUUUGUCUAAACAGUGCUACGCUUGUGGACUUCAAGUGUGAAAACAGAUCCAAGACGCAAUCAUCCACCUCCAACAGAUUCAGGACGCAAUCAGCUACCUCCAUACUAGGGAGCAGGAUGGUGAGGGGACAGGUAUUUUGGGUGAUAUGACAACUAAUUGUAAUUAAUGUAAUUAAUUACAUGUAAUUGUAAAUGUAAAUUUACAUUUACAAUGGAUUGUUUGCAGGGUAGGUAUACAUUUUCAUGGUCCUGAUAAUUGACAAGACUCACGUGUCUGUAAAUACUGC